rnacentral:rRNA from 1 species
CAAUUUUUACUGUGAAACUGCGAAUGGCUCAUUAAAUCAGUUAUAGUUUAUUUGAUAGUACCUUACUACUUGGAUAACCGUGGUAAUUCUAGAGCUAAUACAUGCAAAAAAACCCCGACUUCUGGAAGGGGUGUAUUUAUUAGAUAAAAAACCAAUCCUAGCAAUAGGUUUCUUGGUGAUUCAUAGUAACUUUUCGAAUCGUAUGACUUUAUGUCGACGAUGGUUCAUUCAAAUUUCUGCCCUAUCAACUGUCGAUGGUAGGAUAGAGGCCUACCAUGGUUUUAACGGGUAACGGAGAAUUAGGGUUCGAUUCCGGAGAGGGAGCCUGAGAAACGGCUACCACAUCCAAGGAAGGCAGCAGGCGCGCAAAUUACCCAAUCCUGAUACAGGGAGGUAGUGACAAUAAAUAACAAUACAGGGCUUUUUAAGUCUUGUAAUUGGAAUGAGUACAAUUUAAAUCCCUUAACGAGAACCAAUUGGAGGGCAAGUCUGGUGCCAGCAGCCGCGGUAAUUCCAGCUCCAAUAGCGUAUAUUAAAGUUGUUGCAGUUAAAAAGCUCGUAGUUGAAUUUUGGGCCUGGUUAGACGGUUUGAUCGCAAGAUUAACACUGUUCGAUUGGGUCUUUCCUUCUGGGGAACUAAUGUGCUAUUAGUUUAGUGCGUUAGGGAUCCAGGACUUUUACUUUGAAAAAAUUAGAGUGUUCAAAGCAGGCAUUUGCUCGAAUACAUUAGCAUGGAAUAAUAGAAUAGGACUUUGGUUCUAUUUUGUUGGUUUUCAGGACCGAAGUAAUGAUUAAUAGGGACAGUUGGGGGCAUUAGUAUUUAAUUGUCAGAGGUGAAAUUCUUGGAUUUAUGAAAGACUAACUUCUGCGAAAGCAUUUGCCAAGGAUGUUUUCAUUAAUCAAGAACGAAAGUUAGGGGAUCGAAGACGAUCAGAUACCGUCGUAGUCUUAACCAUAAACUAUGCCGACUAGGGAUUGGAUGCAGUUUAAAUUGACUCAUUCAGCACCUUAUGAGAAAUCAAAGUUUUUGGGUUCC